GUAAAGAGACGGAGACGAAGUCAUAAACAUAAGCAAAGUGAAAACACCAGAAUAAACAGCAAUGAGCUAAAGCUUGGCAACAACCGCGACAACACAACUGUGUGUAUACUUUGCAAAGACGGAAUGCAUAGAAGGUCCUUUUAAACUGUGGUACUGAUUGUGCUGUGAAUUGGAUGCAGGUGUGCGUGAUUAGAAUGAAGGCGAGUGUUCUGAGAAUUGCGGUCCAUGGCAGCCAUGUUUGUAGGCUGCAGUGAAGGAUGGGAAAUGUAGUCAUUGUUUUGCUGUGAUAUGACAAUGAUGGUGAGCUGAGGAAGCCACUCAAAAUGAGAUGCUUUCGUUCAUGUUGGGAAAGUGAGAUGAGGCGAGGAUAAGAGGGAGAGAGACACACACCUCGAAGAAGGGAGAGCCACGAGCAUGAUGUGAAUGUGUUUUGUGUGUGUGCAUGCAUGUCUGAAGUAAAGAAAGUAAACGAACGCUGUGUUGUGGAAAUUAGACAACACUCACAGACUCGUCCUCUGAAGGUAAAA